rnacentral:misc_RNA from 1 species
CAGAGUCGAAAUACUCCGUAAACCAUUGUGAACGUUACCUUAACCGUUGCUUCGGCGGGCGGCGCCCGGCCCUCGUGGCCCGCGGCGCCCCCCGGCCCCCUGCGGGCGCCCGCCGGAGGUAUACCUAACUCUUGAAUUACAUGGCCUCUCUGAGUCUUCUGUACUGAAUAAGUCAA